AUGGAGCGCCUGCUCCGCGGCUGUACUACACUCGAGUUCCUUCGUCUUCAAGCGAUGAAUUGGUCGAGUACCUUGCACAUCACCUCCAGGACUCUCCGCACUAUUUAUGUGUGUUACUGGUGCUGCAACGAGAGAUCACAAAAGGUGGACCACAAUAUGGUCAUCCAGAACACACCUUCACUUGAGAGAUUACUUGUAGUUGAUCAACAAGGUCCAACAAGAAUCAAUGUCAUUUUUGCGCCAAAAUUGAAAGUGGUGGGCUACUCGUCUGUCAAAUACUACAACUUUCAGGUACAACAGUCGCCUUAUAUACCUCUCCUUCUUGAUAUCAACAUUAUUUCUAGUUUUGAAGAUGUAUGUUCGUCUGUCAUCCAGCGAAGCUUCACCCAGCCUCUGGGCACAGUGAAGGUCUUGGCACUAGAAUCUGUCGUCCCCAACCUGGACCAAGUUUUCAAUUGCCUGAGAUGCUUUCCGUGCCUGAAGAAGCUGUAUAUCAAGUGCAUAUUAGGCCCGGUGGAAGAUGUUGAUAAUGACAAUCACAUCGAAUGCCUGGAUCUGCAUCUCCUAAAUAUUACUUUGAACUCCUACCGAGGAACCCUACAGGAGAUUACACUUGCCAUGUUCUUUCUUGCCACAACAAAGGUGAUGAGGUUACUGAGGUUGAACACACAUUUAAUUAGGGAAGAUCAAUGGUAUGAUUAUUAG
rnacentral:rRNA from 1 species